rnacentral:rRNA from 1 species
GUAGUUCGGAAUUACUGGGCUUAAAGAGUUCGUAGGUGGUUAAAAAAGUUGGUGGUGAAAUCCCAGAGCUUAACUCUGGAACUGCCAUCAAAACUUUUUAGCUAGAGUAUGAUAGAGGAAAGCAGAAUUUCUAGUGUAGAGGUGAAAUUCGUAGAUAUUAGAAAGAAUACCAAUUGCGAAGGCAGCUUUCUGGAUCAUUACUGACACUGAGGAACGAAAGCAUGGGUAGCGAAGAGGAUUAGAUACCCUCGUAGUCCAUGCCGUAAACGAUGUGUGUUAGACGUUGGAAAUUUAUUUUCAGUGUCGCAGCGAAAGCGAUAAACACACCGCCUGGGGAGUACGACCGCAAGGUUAAAACUCAAAUGAAUUGACGGGGACCCGCACAAGUAGUGGAGCAUGUGGUUUAAUUCGAAGAUACGCGCAGAACCUUACCAACACUUGACAUGUUCGUCGCGACUCUAAGAGAUUAGAGUUUUCGGUUCGGCCGGACGAAACACAGGUGCUGCAUGGCUGUCGUCAGCUCGUGUCGUGAGAUGUUGGGUUAAGUCCCGCAACGAGCGCAACCCUCACUUUUAGUUGCCAUCAUUUAGUUGGGCACUCUGAAAGAACUGCCAGUGAUAAGCUGGAGGAAGGUGGGGAUGACGUCAAGUCCUCAUGGCCCUUACGUGUUGGGCUACACACGUGCUACAAUGGCAUUUACAAUAGGAAGCAAGAUGGCAACAUUGAGCAAAUCCUAAAAAGAUGCCUCAGUUCGG